UACGUCGGGUGCAAGCGUUAAUCGGAAUUACUGGGCGUAAAGCGUGCGCAGGCGGUGAUGUAAGACAGAUGUGAAAUCCCCGGGCUCAACCUGGGAACUGCAUUUGUGACUGCAUCGCUGGAGUACGGCAGAGGGGGAUGGAAUUCCGCGUGUAGCAGUGAAAUGCGUAGAUAUGCGGAGGAACACCGAUGGCGAAGGCAAUCCCCUGGGCCUGUACUGACGCCCAUGCACGAAAGCGUGGGGAGCAAACAGG
rnacentral:rRNA from 1 species